ensembl:lncRNA LINC00511 long intergenic non-protein coding RNA 511
AGGGCCGAAUGGCCCAGCCGACUGCAGGGCGCGCAGGCGGCGCGGGUGCGCGGUGCGGCGCUGGUAUCCAGAGGACGCGGUCACCGCCUCUGGCAUUUGUCGUUCUGCGCUUCUCCGCAAGGACCCUCUGUUAGGCAGGCGCCCACCGUAAGCCUCCCGGGCCUUGUGAACCUGCAAACCCAAGUCUGAGAGACGAUCCGCCUUCAGCGCUUUCCAGCUUGGCAGAGAGGCUUUCCCGGCGGGGAUCUUUGGUUGGCGCUGGCGAUGCGCGGGGAAGAAAGGCGAGGAGCGGCGUCCAGGCUGGGUGAUGUCCCAGCACGAGUAGGCGGGAUGCGCUCGCUUGGUCCUCCGGGCGCCCGGUCCCUGCCCGCGUCGCGCGCCCACCCCUGGGGACGAGAAGGCGGCCGCCUGAGGACCCCCGCCCGCGACCUCCGCGAGUCUGGAGCGCAGAGGACAGGGUCUGGCUGCUCUUUGGCCUUGGAUGGAAAGUGGGGAAUUGGGUGGGGGGCUGCGGACCCCUUAACGUGGAUUACUUGGUGUGUAUCAGCUGGGCUCAGAAGACCCACGACCUCUUCUCCAUCCGUGGAUUGAUUUGUUCUGCUUAACAGCUGGGUCGCCAAGCUGGAGGUAUUUUUCCCUCUCCACCCUGGUCUUCUCCUGUAACGUGUGGCCGCCUUUUCCAGCACGGCCUCCUGCCUUCCUGGUGCACUUUUUGGAGAACGUGGUGGAAUCAGAGGUUUCUGGCUGACUCGGUGGGUGCUUUGAACCAGGAAAGGACAAGAAAGAGGAUGGGAAGGACUGAUCCACAUUCCCACCAGGAAGUUUAGCAGAACCCCCGCGUGCCACCUGGACCCCUUGGAAGGACCUGGCUCAGGCUGGACCACCUCUUGAGAGGCAGGAGCUCUGGAUUUGAUCAAGAAUUCUUUGCUGAGCAUGGUGCCUCAUGCCUAUAAUCCCAACACUUUGGGAGGCCAGUGUGGGAGGAUCUCUUGAGCCCAGGAGUUCAAGACUAGCCUGGGCAACACAGAGAGACCCCAUCUCUAAAAUAAUAAUAAUAAUAAAAUAAAAAAUUAGCAGGGCAUGGUGGCAUGUGCCUGUAGUCCCAGCUACCCAGGAGGCUGAGGCAAGAGGAUGGCUGGAGCCUGGGAUGUUGAGGCUGCAAUGAACUGUGAUUACCCCACUGCACUCCAGCCUGGGCAAAAGAGCGAGAGACCCUGUCUCAAAUAAUAAUAAUAAUAAUAAUCUUAUUUUGGAGAAUAAAGAGACCUCUGGAUUUGAGGUGCCAUUUGGGUAGAAAGAAAAGACGUUUACACCGAGAAAUAGUCUGUGUUGCCCUGAAGGAGCAGAGGGAUGCAUCGCUGGAGGUGACCUACAGUUGAAGAAGACUCAUUAUGACAGACCUUGUCCUUCUUCCUUGUGGAAAGUGUUUCCUCUGCUGCUACUGCUCAUGAGACUCUUCCCCCUCCCUGUCCCAGGGAACCAAAGGGCUUUCUACCACACCCUUUCUUGCCCCCCGCCUCCCAUGUCUGCUGUGCCUUUGUACUCAGCAAUUCUUGUUUGCUCCAUUAUCUUCCAGCCGGAUACAGAGUGAAUAGUUAACCACACUUAGGUCAAAUAGGAUCUAAAUUUUUGUUCCUGCUCCGUGUAAAGAGGCCAGUGUUUGUGUGUUGCAAGCAGCCUUGGAAUAGUAACUCUUCUCAUUUGUUUGGGAUCUGGCCACCAAGUUCCAGAAUGAUACACGGAUCAGUGCAGAAGUUCAUCAGGCUCUCGGACCUUAGGGCUGUUGGAGAAGGCUUCAGCAGCAGAACUGAUGGUGAAGGCUCGUGUUCUCCAUCCUCAACUUUCUUUGCUUCGAUCAUACACAAGAAUACAUUUGGAAGGGCAAAAAAUGAACACUGUCGUUCAUUGCAGCCGUGUUUUGUGACACAGAUGCACAGUCUGCUGUGAAGACCUUCUCUCAAGUGGCAUUUGGGAGUCCAUGCCAGAUCAUGGUGCUUCAUGAGAGACUGACAGCUAUCAGGGGUUGUGGCACUUAGUGAGGACUCUCCUCCCCCAGUGUGUGCUGAUGACACAUACACACCUGACAAUAGCUUGAGUCUUCUCUGUUCCUUUUACUCUGUAGCCAACAUACACAUGAUUUAAAACCCUUUCUAAAUAUCUAUCAUGGUUCAUCCUUGUCCAAAUGCAGAGUCAGAGCUAUUUGUACUUCAUUAUUAUUUCCAAGGCGAAUAGUUGGCUUUCUUUUUGCAAAAAUAAUUAAAGUUUUUGUAUGUUGCAGUUGCUGUGCUUGUA